GUGGUUUGAAUAAUGUGAGCUGUGUGUAGUGACUGCUGCUGAGGUCCAGAGGAACGAGAGAAGGUUUUAACUCUGAACUCAUCAGUCUCAGCGGGAUGAAUAGAGCAGGUUUAUGUAGUUGCUGAUUGUAGAUGGAGGAGGUCUGUGAACUGAAAACUCCUCUCUGUGAUCACUGAAACCUCGUGUUAGUGUAAAGACACUUGAAGGCAACAGAGAAGUUAUUUCUAGAAUCUGUCAGUGGUUUAAAGGUUUCCACACACCUGCAGCAACAAGGUAGUUCUCAUGAAGGGGUAGCUGUUAUUUAAAGGAUCAGGCCGGUGUUUCUCAUGUUUUUGGGUGUCAUUGAUUGAUAGAGACAAAAGUGUGGAGCAGUGAAACUGAGCUCAGUGAACAGGUGGAAGGAAAAUCAACACAACAACAACACAGAUUUAGUUAGAACAGACACCAGGUUCAUUUUCCUCACCUUAGGCCACAGGUGCUGUUGUUCGGUGAAAUCAUCUCUAAAUGACUCGAGGAUGAUGGUGAGUGUAGGUUUGUCAGAUGUGUAGGCGAUGUCAGCCUAGUGUCAGGUGUGUUUCCAGGUGUUAGCCUAGUGUCAGGUGUGUUUCCAGGUGUUAGCCUAGUGUCAGGUGUGUUUCCAGGUGUUAGCCUAGUGUCAGGUGUGUUUCCAGGUGUUAGCCUAGUGUCAGGUGUGUUUCCAGGUGUUAGCCUGUUGUCAGGUGUGUUUCCAGGUGUUAGUCUGUUGUCAGGUGUGAUUCCAGGUGUUAGUCUGUUGUCAGGUGUGAUUCCAGGUGU